rnacentral:rRNA from 1 species
UCAUCUCUUGUCGNGAGAUGUUGGGUUAAGUCCCGCAACCAGCGCAACCCUUGUCCUUAGUUACCAUCAUUUAGUUGGGCACUCUAUUGAGACUGCCGGUGACAAACCGGAGGAAAGUGGGGAUGACAUCAAAUCAUCAUGCCCCUUAUGACCUGGGCUACACACGUGCUACAAUGGGNGGUACANAGAGUGGCCAAACCGCGAGGGGGAGCUAAUCUCUCAAAACCCNUCUCAGUUCGGAUUGCACGCUGCAACUCUCCUGCAUGAAGUCGGAAUCGCUAGUAAUCUCGGAUCAGCACGCCGCGGUGAAUACAUUCCCGGGUCUUGUACACACCGAGAAA